rnacentral:rRNA from 1 species
GUAGUCCACGCCCUAAACUAUGUCAACUGGUUGUCGGGAGAUUAACUCUCUUGGUAACGAAGCUAACGCGUGAAGUUGACCGCCUGGGGAGUACGGCCGCAAGGUUAAAACUCAAAGGAAUUGACGGGGACCCGCACAAGCGGUGGAUUAUGUGGAUUAAUUCGAUGCAACGCGAAAAACCUUACCUACCCUUGACAUGUACGGAAUCCUUCAGAGAUGGAGGGGUGCCCGAAAGGGAACCGUAACACAGGUGCUGCAUGGCUGUCGUCAGCUCGUGUCGUGAGAUGUUGGGUUAAGUCCCGCAACGAGCGCAACCAUUGUCAUUAGUUGCUACAUUUAGUUGGGCACUCUAAUGAGACUGCCGGUGACAAACCGGAGGAAGGUGGGGAUGACGUCAAGUCCUCAUGGCCCUUAUGGGUAGGGCUUCACACGUAAUACAAUGGCCGGUACAGAGGGCUGCCAACCCGCGAGGGGGAGCUAAUCUCAGAAAGCCGGUCGUAGUCCGGAUUGUUCUCUGCAACUCGAGAGCAUGAAGUUGGAAUCGCUAGUAAUCGCGGAUCAGCAUGUCGCGGUGAAUACGUUCCCGGGUCUUGUACACACCGCCCGUCACACCAUGG